rnacentral:rRNA from 1 species
UGCGAACGGGUGACUAACGCGUAGGUAACCUGCCUACUAGCGGGGGAUAACUAUUGGAAACGAUAGCUAAUACCGCAUAACAGCAUUUAACCCAUGUUAGAUGCUUGAAAGGAGCAAUUGCUUCACUAAUAGAUGGACCUGCGUUGUAUUAGCUAUUUGGUGAGGUAACGGCUCACCAAGGCGACGAUACAUACCCGACCUGAGAGGGUGAUCGGCCACACUGGGACUGAGACACGGCCCAGACUCCUACGGGAGGCAGCAGUAGGGAAUCUUCGGCAAUGGGGGCAACCCUGACCGAGCAACGCCGCGUGAGUGAAGAAGGUUUUCGGAUCGUAAAGCUCUGUUGUAAGAGAAGAACGUGUGUGAGAGUGGAAAGUUCACACAGUGACGGUAACUUACCAGAAAGGGACGGCUAACUACGUGCCACCAGCCGCGGUAAUACAUAUGUCCCGAGCGUUGUCCGGAUUUAUUGGGCGUAAAGCGAGCGCAUGCGGUUUAAUAAGUCUGAAGUUAAAGGCAGUGGCUUAACCAUUGUUCGCUUUGGAAACUGUUAGACUUGACUGCAGAAGGGGAGAGUGGAAUUCCAUGUGUAGCGGUGAAAUGCGUAGAUAUAUGGAGGAACACCGGUGGGCGAAAGCGGCUCUCUGGUCUGUAACUGACGCUGAGGGCUCGAAAGCGUGGGGAGCAAACACGAUUAGAUAUCCCUGGUAGUGCACGCCG